rnacentral:rRNA from 1 species
GAUGAACGCUAGCGGCAGGCUUAAUACAUGCAAGUCAAGGGGGUAGCAAUACAACCGGCGCACGGGUGAGUAACGCGUACACAACAUACCAUAUACUGGGGUAUAGCUUUGGGAAACUGAAGGUAAUCCCCCAUAACAUUGCGAGAGGGCAUCUGAUUGCAAUUAAAGUUUCGGCGGUAUAUGAUUGGUGUGCGUUUGAUUAGCUAGUUGGUAGGGUAACGGCCUACCAAGGCGACGAUCAAUAGCUGGCGUGAGAGCGCGACCAGCCACACUGGAACUGAGACACGGUCCAGACUCCUACGGGAGGCAGCAGUAGGGAAUAUUGGACAAUGGGCGCAAGCCUGAUCCAGCCAUGCCGCGUGAUAGAUGAAGGCCCUCUGGGUUGUAAAUAUCUUUUAUCUGGGAAGAAACUCCUCUAUUCUUAGAGGCCUGACGGUACCAGAGGAAUAAGCACCGGCUAACUCCGUGCCAGCAGCCGCGGUAAA